AUACGUAGGGAGCGAGCGUUGUUCGGAAUUACUGGGCGUAAAGGGCGCGUAGGCGGCGCUUCAAGUCGUCUGUCAAAUGGGAGGGCUUAACCCUUUUUCGCAGACGAAACUGGAGAGCUUGAGAAGCAGAGAGGCAAACAGAAUUCCUGGUGUAGCGGUGAAAUGCGUAGAUAUCAGGAAGAAUACCAGUGGCGAAGGCGGUUUGCUGGCUGCAUACUGACGCUGAAGCGCGAAAGCCAGGGGAGCAAACGGGAUUAGAUACCCCGGUAGUCCUGGCAGUAAACGAUGUAUGCUGGGUGUGAGACUAGCGAUAGUUUCGUGCCGAAGUUAACGCGAUAAGCAUACCGCCUGGGGAGUACGGUCGCAAGAUUGAAACUCAAAUGAAUUGACGGGG
rnacentral:rRNA from 1 species